UACGUAGGGUGCAAGCGUUGUCCGGAAUUAUUGGGCGUAAAGAGCUUGUAGGCGGUUUGUCGCGUCUGCUGUGAAAUUUCGGGGCUCAACCCCGAACUUGCAGUGGGUACGGGCAGACUAGAGUGUGGUAGGGGAGACUGGAAUUCCUGGUGUAGCGGUGAAAUGCGCAGAUAUCAGGAGGAACACCGGUGGCGAAGGCGGGUCUCUGGGCCGACACUGACGCUGAGGAGCGAAAGCGUGGGGAGCGAACAGG
rnacentral:rRNA from 1 species